rnacentral:rRNA from 1 species
AAAAGAACUUUGAAGAGAGAGUUCAAGAGUACGUGAAACUGCUUAGAGGUAAACGGGUGGAUCCGCAAAGUCGACCCGGGGAAUUCAACUUGCCGUUUUCAGACGGCGGACGUUGCGAUAGGGAUCUGUAAAGACCCGUCCGGCGUUCGGCUGUCUUCGGCGAGUGCACUUUCCUCGGGUAGAGUGCCACGACCGGUUUUGGGGCGGUCACAAGCCAGUCGGGAAGGUGACUUCCUCCUCGGAGGAAGUGUUAUAGCCCGGCCAGGUCGACUGUUCCGAGACCGAGGAUUUGCCGCGUCUCACCUGCCAUCGGCGCUCUGUCUACGUUCGACUGGGGAAGCACUGCUUGCAGUUCUCUCCGACCGCGUGGAUGGAUCGGCUGAGAAGCACGAGGCGCUGCGGGUCAGUGGCGAGUCGGUCGGUCCUCCACCCGACCCGUCUUGAAACACGGACCAAGGAGUCUAACAUGUGCGCAAGUCAUGGGGUUCUGUACGAAACCUAAAGGCGCAAUGAAAGUGAAGGUCAACCUCCGGUCGGCCUAGGUAGGAUCCCCGUCGAGGGGCGCACUACCGGCCCGUCUCGACCACAUUGUUGGUGGGGCGGAGCAAGAGCGUACACGUUGGGACCCGAAAGAUGGUGAACUAUGCCUGAGUAGGACGAAGCCAGAGGAAACUCUGGUGGAGGUCCGUAGCGAUUCUGACGUGCAAAUCGAUCGUCAAACUUUGGGGUAUAGGGGCGAAAGACUAAUCGAACCAUC